CCAGGUUCAAGUGAUUCUCCUGCCUCCGUUUCCUGAGUAGCUGGGAUUACAGAGUUCACUCCACAACAGACUGCACACUGUUCUGGGGCCUAGCAAUGCCAAUGCUGAGGAAGAGGGUGAAGCAUGAGCUGCCACUGCUGCGGGAGAGUGUAACAUCAGCUCUUCCUGGGUCUUCAGACUGGAUCUUCAUUAUCAGCUAUCCUGGGUCUCCAGCUUGCUGACUUACCCUGCAGAUCUUUGGACUUAGCCUCCAUAAUUGCAUGAGCCAAUUUCUUUUUCUAGAUAGAUAGAUAAGUACUUAGGUGUGGAGGUACGUAUGUAGAUAGAUGAAAAUAAAUACUCCUUGACAUGCAAUAGGGUUCUCUCUCAAUAAACUCAUUGUAGGUUGAGAAUAUCACAAGCAAAAUAUUCAUUUAACACAUCUAACCUACCAAAUACCAUAAUUUAGCCUAACCUGCCGUAAAUGUGCUCAGAACACUUUCAUUAGCCUACAGUUGGGCAAAAUCAUUUAACACAAAGACUAUUUUAUAAUAAAGUGUUAACUAUCUCAUGUAAUUUAUUGAAUACUGUACUAAAAGUGAAAAACAGAAUGGUUGUAUGGCUACUUUAAGUGUGGUUUCUACUAAAUCUGUAUCAAUUUUGUACCACUGUAAAGUAAAAACAAUAUUAGUUAAACCAUUAUAAGUCAGGGAUUAUCUGAAUAUUCCAGAAAAAGCCAAGUCACAAUUCAAAAGCAGUGAAGGAGAAAUGCUAUUUGGUUGUGAUACAGGAUUAAAUAGACUUUAAUGAUCUGUUCUGGAGAUCAAACCACAAUUGUUUGUAUGAAGAAACUCUGGUUUCUUUAAAAAUCGUAGUAGACA
rnacentral:lncRNA from 1 species